GAGAAGUGUUGCUCACACUGGACCAUGUAUAAGUCUUCUGGAAUGAAGCGUCAUAGAGGGUGAGAAUCCCGUCUUAGACAUGGACUCCCAGUGUAUUUGUAGCAUGCUCUCAAAGAGUCGAGUUGUUUGGGAAUGCAGCUCUAAAUGGGUGGUAACCUCCAUCUAAAGCUAAAUAUUGGCGAGAGACCGAUAGUGAACAAGUACCGUGAGGGAAAGAUGAAAAGAACUUUGGAAAGAGAGUUAAAAAGUACGUGAAAUUGUUGAAAGGGAAACGCUUGAAGUCAGUCACAUUGGCCAGGGAUCAACUUGCUUAAGUGUACUUCCUGGCUGAUGGGCCAACAUCAGCUUUGACUGUCAGAGAAGGGUAGGGGGAAUGUGGCACCCUUCUUGGGUGUGUUAUAGCCCUCUGUCAUAUAUGGCGGUUGGGGCUGAGGAAUGCAGCGCGCCACAAGGCCGGGUUUCGACCACGUUCGCGCUUAGGAUGUUGGCAUAAUGGCUUUAAUCGACCCGUCUUGAAACACGGACCAAGGAGUCUAACAUGCCUGCGAGUGUUUGGGUGGAAAACCCGAGUGCAUAAUGAAAGUGAAAGUUGAGAUCCCUGUCAUGGGGUGCAUCGACGCCCGGGACCUGAGCUUUCUAGCAAUGGCUCUGCGGUAUAGCAUGUAUGUUGGGACCCGAAAGAUGGUGAACUAUGCCUGAAUAGGGCGAAGCCAGAGGAAACUCUGGUGGAGGCUCGUAGCGAUUCUGACGUGCAAAUCGAUCGUCGAAGUUGGGUAUAGGGGC
rnacentral:rRNA from 1 species